rnacentral:rRNA from 1 species
AUUCCAGCUCCAAUAGCGUAUAUUAAAGUUGUUGCGGUUAAAGAGCUCGUAGUUGGAUUUCUGUUGAAGACCGGCGGUCCACCUUUUGGGUGAGUAUCUGCUUGGGCUUCGGCAUCUUCUCGGAAUACGUUGCUGCGCUUGAUUGCGUGGUUCGGAGUCCGGGACUUUUACUUUGAGGAAAUUAGAGUGUUCACGGCAGGCAUACGCCUUGAAUAUAUUAGCAUGGAAUAAUAAUAUAGGAUCUUGGUUCUAUUUUGUUGGUUUCUAGAGCUAAGAUAAUGAUUAAUAGGGACAAUUGGGGGCAUUCGUAUUAACGCGUCAGAGGUGAAAUUCUUGGAUUGCGUUACGACGAACUACUGCGAAAGCAUUUGCCAAGGAUGUUUUCAUUA